GACGAACGCUGGCUGCGUGCUUAACACAUGCAAGUCGAACGGAAAGGCCCUGCUUUUGUGGGGUGCUCGAGUGGCGAACGGGUGAGUAACACGUGAGUAACCUGCCCUUGACUUUGGGAUAACUUCAGGAAACUGGGGCUAAUACCGGAUAGGAGCUCCUGCUGCAUGGUGGGGGUUGGAAAGUUUCGGCGGUUGGGGAUGGACUCGCGGCUUAUCAGCUUGUUGGUGGGGUAGUGGCUUACCAAGGCUUUGACGGGUAGCCGGCCUGAGAGGGUGACCGGCCACAUUGGGACUGAGAUACGGCCCAGACUCCUACGGGUGGCAGCAGUGGGGAAUAUUGCACAAUGGGCGGAAGCCUGAUGCAGCAACGCCGCGUGCGGGAUGACGGCCUUCGGGUUGUAAACCGCUUUCGCCUGUGACGAAGCGUGAGUGACGGUAAUGGGUAAAGAAGCACCGGCUAACUACGUGCCAGCAGCCGCGGUGAUACGUAGGGUGCGAGCGUUGUCCGGAUUUAUUGGGCGUAAAGGGCUCGUAGGUGGUUGAUCGCGUCGGAAGUGUAAUCUUGGGGCUUAACCCUGAGCGUGCUUUCGAUACGGGUUGACUUGAGGAAGGUAGGGGAGAAUGGAAUUCCUGGUGGAGCGGUGGAAUGCGCAGAUAUCAGGAGGAACACCAGUGGCGAAGGCGGUUCUCUGGGCCUUUCCUGACGCUGAGGAGCGAAAGCGUGGGGAGCGAACAGGCUUAGAUACCCUGGUAGUCCACGCUGUAAACGGUGGGUACUAGGUGUGGGGUCCAUUCCACGGGUUCCGUGCCGUAGCUAACGCUUUAAGUACCCCGCCUGGGGAGUACGGCCGCAAGGCUAAAACUCAAAGGAAUUGACGGGGCCCCGCACAAGCGGCGGAGCAUGCGGAUUAAUUCGAUGCAACGCGUAGAACCUUACCUGGGUUUGACAUGGAUCGGGAGCGCUCAGAGAUGGGUGUGCCUCUUUUGGGGUCGGUUCACAGGUGGUGCAUGGCUGUCGUCAGCUCGUGUCGUGAGAUGUUGGGUUAAGUCCCGCAACGAGCGCAACCCUUGUUCACUGUUGCCAGCACGUUAUGGUGGGGACUCAGUGGAGACCGCCGGGGUCAACUCGGAGGAAGAUGGGGAUGACGUCAAGUCAUCAUGCCCCUUAUGUCCAGGGCUUCACGCAUGCUACAAUGGCUGGUACAGAGAGUGGCGAGCCUGUGAGGGUGAGCGAAUCUCGGAAAGCCGGUCUCAGUUCGGAUUGGGGUCUGCAACUCGACCUCAUGAAGUCGGAGUCGCUAGUAAUCGCAGAUCAGCAACGCUGCGGUGAAUACGUUCCCGGG
rnacentral:rRNA from 1 species